AUGUAAUGUAAUUCCUACAAUGUUAAUGCAUAAGAUUCCAUUAGAACUCCACAGUUAAGCGUGGUUGGGCUAGAGUAGUAAUAGGACUAGGAAGUCCUAGUGUUUUACAUG
rnacentral:rRNA from 1 species